GCUUACGGCCAUACCACCCUGAGCACGCCCGAUCUCGUCCGAUCUCGGAAGCUAAGCAGGGUCGGGCCUGGUUAGUACAUGGCGUGCCAUAUACU
rnacentral:rRNA from 1 species